AGAGUUUGAUCCUGGCUCAGGAUGAACGCUAGCUACAGGCUUAACACAUGCAAGUCGAGGGGAAACGAUAUUGGAAGCUUGCUUCCGAUAGGCGUCGACCGGCGCACGGGUGAGUAACGCGUAUCCAACCUGCCCACCACUUGGGGAUAACCUUGCGAAAGUAAGACUAAUACCCAAUGAUAUCUCUAGAAGACAUCUGAAAGAGAUUAAAGAUUUAUCGGUGAUGGAUGGGGAUGCGUCUGAUUAGCUUGUUGGCGGGGUAACGGCCCACCAAGGCAACGAUCAGUAGGGGUUCUGAGAGGAAGGUCCCCCACAUUGGAACUGAGACACGGUCCAAACUCCUACGGGAGGCAGCAGUGAGGAAUAUUGGUCAAUGGACGAGAGUCUGAACCAGCCAAGUAGCGUGCAGGAAGACGGCCCUAUGGGUUGUAAACUGCUUUUAUAAGGGAAUAAAGUGAGAGUCGUGACUCUUUUUGCAUGUACCUUAUGAAUAAGGACCGGCUAAUUCCGUGCCAGCAGCCGCGGUAAUACGGAAGGUCCGGGCGUUAUCCGGAUUUAUUGGGUUUAAAGGGAGCGUAGGCCGGAGAUUAAGCGUGUUGUGAAAUGUAGACGCUCAACGUCUGCACUGCAGCGCGAACUGGUUUCCUUGAGUACGCACAAAGUGGGCGGAAUUCGUGGUGUAGCGGUGAAAUGCUUAGAUAUCACGAAGAACUCCGAUUGCGAAGGCAGCUCACUGGAGCGCAACUGACGCUGAAGCUCGAAAGUGCGGGUAUCGAACAGGAUUAGAUACCCUGGUAGUCCGCACGGUAAACGAUGGAUGCCCGCUGUUGGUCUGAAUAGGUCAGCGGCCAAGCGAAAGCAUUAAGCAUCCCACCUGGGGAGUACGCCGGCAACGGUGAAACUCAAAGGAAUUGACGGGGGCCCGCACAAGCGGAGGAACAUGUGGUUUAAUUCGAUGAUACGGGAGGAACCUUACCCGGGCUUGAAUUGCGGAGGAAGGAUUUGGAGACAAUGACGCCCUUCGGGGCCUCUGUGAAGGUGCUGCAUGGUUGUCGUCAGCUCGUGCCGUGAGGUGUCGGCUUAAGUGCCAUAACGAGCGCAACCCCUCUCCUUAGUUGCCAUCAGGUUAAGCUGGGCGCUCUGGGGACACUGCCACCGUAAGGUGUGAGGAAGGUGGGGAUGACGUCAAAUCAGCACGGCCCUUACGUCCGGGGCUACACACGUGUUACAAUGGCGGGUACAGAGAGAC
rnacentral:rRNA from 1 species